GAAUACAUCAGUUAGGAUUACAAAUUUAAAGGUAACUGGAAGUAACAUUUAUUAUUCACUAAUCACAAUAUUAUGGAAUACAAAGUACGUACCUCAAACACCCCAUGGCCUAGAAACUGUCCAGUCCAACAAAACAACUGUGCUGCCAGCACAACCUAAUUUAAAUUGAUGUUGUAGCGAGUUUAGUGUUUCAAAUCAAAUCUAAGUACAUAGAAAUACUAUUAUCCUUCGAUUCAAGAAAUCAAUAGCUGACACUGUCAAGCAUGCCAGUUUACUUAGCAAGAUAACCAAAGUACAGAAGAGUUUAUCAAUCCUUUAUUAUCUGGAAAUAGCUCCUAGGAAUCUUCCUAACUGUUGCAGCAAGCAGACUUAAAGGCUUGUCAUUUUCUUUUCAAUAACACUUAUACAUAUGAUGGAUAACACGACUCUAUAUAGUUAUGAACAAAAUAACUUUGUUAAAUUUGGGUCAGGCCUAACUCACUCCAAAAGCUAGCUCAAGAGGGAGGAGUGCCUAUAGCCCAUAUAAGGGCACAUUACCCCUUUUUACAACCGAUGUGGGAUUCAACACACCCCUCACACCCAAAAUUUUUACUGGUGCGUGGCAUUUUUAUGGGGCGCCCAACAUCGGAUGGGGAGGCUCUGAAGCCCAUACAAGGGGCACAUUACCCCUUUCCACAACCGAUGUGGGAUUCAACACACCCCUCACGCCCAGAAUUUUUACUGGUGCGUGGCAUAUUUAUGGGGCGCUCAACAUCGGAUGGGGAGGCUCUGAUACCAUGUUAAAUUUGGGCCAGGCCUAACUCACCCCAAAAGCUGGCUCAAGGGGGAGGAGUGCCUAUAGCCCAUAUAAGGGGCACAUUACCCCUUUUCACAACCGAUGUGGGAUUCAACACACCCCUUUCCAAAAAAGUGCCAAAUGUGCCGCCCCAAAGUGGCACCCAAUACGGAGACGUUACCGUGUGCAGGGUUCCUGGGCUAUAUAGGAUUAAAGUAGCGCCUCUACUAACAGUUUAAGUUUUUGGUAGAAUGGUAUGCGCCCUAAUAGUAUCAGAGCCUCCCCAUCCGAUGUUGGGCGCCCCAUAAAUAUGCCACGCACUAGUAAAAAUUCUGGGCGUGAGGGGGUGUGUUGAAUCCCAUAUCGAUUGUGUAAAGGUAAUGUGCCCCUUAUAUGGGCUAUAGGCACUCCUUCCCCUUGAGCUAGCUUUUGGGGUGAGUUAGGCCUUACCCAAAUUUAACAUGGUAUCAGAGCCUCCCCAUCCGAUGUUGGGCACCCCAUAAACCAGUAAAAGUUUUGAGCGUGAGGGAGUGUGUUGAAUCUCACAUCGGUUGUGGAAAGGGGUAAUGUGCCCCUUAUAUGGGCUAUAGGCACUCCUCCCCCUUGAGUUAGCUUGUUAGCUUUUGGAGUGAGUUAGACUUGACCCAAAUUUAACAAACUCAAUUGGCAAAAAAUUCAGAUCUAUUUCAAACAAUUAAAAUGACUUCACUGAUGUUUUCAUUCUACCUUAUUUUUCCAUGUACCAAGUUACCAUGGUGCAUAUUUAAAUCGCAGUGAAAUGAUAGACAAAUUCACAGAAGUUGAAAAUAUUUACAUGGCAUGACAGAGAACAGAUGCUGGGAAUGAUGAAAACUAACAUGUAGACAAAUUCACAAACAUGGUUCAAAUCUCAGGCAAACUUCAGUACUGAACAAUGAUAGGCAAAUUCACGGAGUUGAAAAUAUUUAUGUGGUUUGACAGAGAACAGAUGCUGGUACAGAUGAAAACUAACAUAUAGACAAAGUCACAUAUAUGAUUAAAGCAAUUGAUUAGCCACUCUCAGCUUGUCCAGAAUAAUUUUUAAUUUAAUAAAGGUACUAGUUUCAAACUUUUCCAAUUAACUACAAUGGCAAGCCAAUUUCGUUUCUUGCGUUCCCAAGUGAACAAGACUAAUAUGAAAUUAGAGCUCUUCGAUCCUAUCAAAUUUCCCUAUUUCCAUUGGUUAUAUAUUUUGUGUUUUGUGUUGCGUUGGCUGAGCAGACUGGGGCAGCUCUGCUUCAGCAUCUUAAUUGUUGCAUAAGGCACCUGGUAAAGUUACAAAACCUUAUUUGGUAAUCACCGAAUGCAUUUCCCAACACAGUUAAUCUCUUAUAGCAAUUACCCAGCGAUUUGCUGAUGGUCAAUCCUACAUGAUGAUGAACACCCAAGUUGGAAUAGUCGUCUUCUUCUUCUUCUGUUCUUGCACUCAAGAAAAUGAAAUGCACAAUCUAAUAAACUCGGCUCAAACUAUCACAAAGGUAAAUCAUGACGCAAAGCUCAGAAAUAGGCAUUUAAAAACCAUUAUUGUACACACAGGCAUGUGGUCAAAACCAUUAAUGCCUGCAGCAGCCUUAAAACAAUAUUCAUAGAGGCAGAGGGGCCACUUCACCCUUAUUCUGGAUCUAAAAUAACAAUAGAGAAAUCGAUGACAAAAAACAAUCCCUAGAUUCCACAGCAGAUAAAAAUAAUUAAAAACCAAAAUUUAAUUACUUAAAGAAUGAAAAAAAAAAAAAAAAAAGAAGGGAGAAGCAGGACAUAACAUAUGAGACCAUGACAACCAAAUC
rnacentral:lncRNA from 1 species